rnacentral:rRNA from 1 species
CUACGGAGGGUCCAAGCGUUAUCCGGAUUCAUUGGGUUUAAAGGGUCCGCAGGCGGGAAAAUAAGUCAGUGGUGAAAGCCUACAGCUCAACUGUAGAACUGCCAUUGAAACUGUUUUUCUUGAGUAUAGAUGAAGUGGGCGGAAUAUAUCAUGUAGCGGUGAAAUGCAUAGAUAUGAUAUAGAACACCGAUUGCGAAGGCAGCUCACUAAACUAUUACUGACGCUCAGGGACGAAAGCGUGGGGAGCGAACAGGAUUAGAAACCCUAGUAGUCC